rnacentral:rRNA from 2 species
AGCAGCCGCGGUAAUUCCAGCUCCAAUAGCGUAUAUUAAAGUUGUUGCAGUUAAAAAGCUCGUAGUUGAAUUUCGGGAUCAAGGAAUCGGUCAUGCCUCGGUAUGUACUGGUUUUAUUGGUUCUCACCUUCUAAAGAACCAUGAUGUCAUUCAUUUGAUGUUAUGGGGAAUUAGGACUGUUACCUUGAAAAAAUUAGAGUGUUUAAAGCAGGCUUACGCUUGAAUACAUUAGCAUGGAAUAAUGAAAUAGGACAUCAGAUUCUAUUUUGUUGGUUUCUAGGAUCGAUGUAAUGAUUAAUAGGGAUAGUUGGGGGCAUUAGUAUUCAAUUGUCAGAGGUGAAAUUCUUGGAUUUAUUGAAGACUAACUACUGCGAAAGCAUUUGCCAAGGAUGUUUUCAUUAAUCAAGAACGAAAGUUAGGGGAUCGAAGACGAUCAGAUACCGUCGUAGU